UACCCCUGUAGUCCAGGGUGUAAACGGCUGCAGACUUGGUGUUGGGAACCCUUCGGGGGUGCUCAGUGCCGGAGAGAAGUUGUUAAGUCUGCUACUUGGGGAGUACGUCCGCAAGGAUGAAACUUAAAGGAAUUGGCGGGGGAGCACCGCAACGGGAGGAGCGUGCGGUUUAAUUGGAUUCAACGCCGAAAACUCACCAGCAGCGACUGUUACAUGAAAGUCAGGUUGAAUGACCUUACUAGAUUUUCAG
rnacentral:rRNA from 1 species